UACGUAGGGUGCAAGCGUUAAUCGGAAUUACUGGGCGUAAAGCGUGCGCAGGCGGUUUUGUAAGUCUGUCGUGAAAGCCCCGGGCUUAACCUGGGAAUUGCGAUGGAGACUGCAAGGCUUGAAUCUGGCAGAGGGGGGUAGAAUUCCACGUGUAGCAGUGAAAUGCGUAGAUAUCAGGAGGAACACCGGUGGCGAAGGCGGUGGUCUGGGCCGGCACUGACACUGAGGCACGAAAGCGUGGGGAGCAAACAGG
rnacentral:rRNA from 1 species